rnacentral:rRNA from 1 species
CUUAACGGAGUUUUUUAAAGUAUGUUUUUGUUCCGGAAGGUUUUGAUCUUAGAUUUAGUUGUUUAGAAGUGUUGUUGGGUCUGGGUAAGGUCUUGUAAACUAAAUUUAUGAUGUGAUAAGUGAGUCGUAAAGCUUUAUAACUGUUUGGUUGUUUAGAAUUUAGUGGGAUGUAGGUGGCUAUUAGGUCAUUUAUAUUUUUAUACAUUUGGUGAUGUGUGGUUUUUGAUAAGGUUAGAGGUACCUAGUUUUUGUUAUAUUGUUGUAAAUAUGGUUUUGUUGGUUUAUUGGUAUGUUAAUUGUUUGAACAACUGUUUUGUUAUAUUUGGUUAUUAUAUUAUCGUUGAAUAAGUAAUUUUAUUAUGCUAUUUAUUUCUUGAGUUCUUUCCGUCUGUUUAUUAAAAACAUUUCUAAUUUUAAUUGUAGUUAGUAGUGCCUGCCCAAUGUUGGUUAAUUAAUGGCCGCAGUAUAUUGACUGUGCAAAGGUAGCAUAAUUAAUUGCCUUUUAAUUGGAGGCUUGUUUGAAUGGUUUGACGUGAUUGGUAUGAAUAUUUGGUAUUUAGUUGAAAUUGAUUUUGAGGGUUUAGAAUCCUUAAUGUUUAAUAAGACGGAAAGACCCUAGGAUCUUUUGUUUUUGUUUGGGGCAAAUAUUGUUGUUUUAUGAAUAUUGUGACCCU